GUAACUUCAGACAACAGGAACAGUAUGUAAGAAGAGCUGCAUUAUCUAGGAUUCUAGGUCUCAAAAUAUAAGGAAUGACCUCACGAGUCACAGCCCAAUUGUUCCUAUAUGUAGUUAGAAGGAGAUAUCUGCUUCUAGUAUUGAUUAAGAAGUGGAGACCACCUCAUCUGUCCUCCUCAAUCUUAUUCAUGCACUAUUGAGACGCACCUACAGGAGGAGAAACACUUCCAAGCACACGAUGUGAAUUUGUAUCUUUACACACCUAACUUACCGACUAUUCCUGAAUCCUCAUCCAGUUUGAAAGAGAAUACAAUGCAAGUAAAACCUGAAUUGAUUUUAGCCUGAUGUUUUCCCACGGAACAGGGACUCAUAAAUCACUCCAUAUGUCAAACUCUGCCCUUCUUCCCCGAUUCAGUAA
rnacentral:lncRNA from 1 species